CCCUUAGAUGUUCUGGGCCGCACGCGUGCUACACUGAGUGGAUCAGCGGGUCAGGUUGCGCGAAAGUGUUUCCUAAUCUUUAAAUCCGCUCGUGAUGGGGAUUGACGGUUGCAAUUUUCCGUCAUGAACGAGGAAUACCUUGUAAGCGCGGGUCAUCAUCCCGCGCUGAAUACGUCCCUGCCCUUUGUACACACCGCCCGUCGCUCCUAUCGAUUGAGUGGUCCGGUGAGGCUUUGGGAUCUGAGCGGAAAGAGCGUUUCGCUGUUUCUGCCCGGAAAACUCAGUCGAACCUUAUCAUUUAGAGGAAGGAGAAGUCGUAACA
rnacentral:rRNA from 1 species